UUCUUUCUUUUUUUUUUUUUUUUUUUUUUUUUUUUUUUUUUUUUUUUUUUUUUUUUUACUGAACAAGCUUUUGCUUAAAAAAAAAAAAAAAAAAAAAAAAAAAAAAAAAAAAAAAAAAAAAGGAAAGAAAGAAAGAA